GACAGAGGGUGCAAACGUUGUCCGGAUUUAUUGGGCGUAAAGAGCGUGUAGGCGGUCAGGUAGGUCCGUUGUGAAAACUCGAGGCUCAACCUCGAGACGCCGAUGGAAACCAUCUGACUAGAGUCCGGAAGAGGAGAGUGGAAUUCCUGGUGUAGCGGUGAAAUGCGCAGAUAUCAGGAAGAACACCCGUGGCUAAGGCGGCUCUCUAGUACGGUACUGACGCUGAGACGCGAAAGCGUGGGGAGCGAACAGG
rnacentral:rRNA from 1 species